rnacentral:rRNA from 1 species
UGCAUAUCAAAAAGCGGAGGAAAAGAAACUAACAAGGAUUCCCCUAGUAACGGCGAGUGAAGCGGGAAGAGCUCAAAUUUGUAAUCUGGCACUUUCAGUGUCCGAGUUGUAAUCUCGAGAAGUGUUUUCCGCGCCGGACCGCAUACAAGUCUGUUGGAAUACAGCGUCAUAGUGGUGAGAGCCCCGUAACUGAUGCGGAUGCCCGGUGCUUUGUGAUACACUUUCGAAGAGUCGAGUUGUUUGGGAAUGCAGCUCAAAUUGGGUGGUAAAUUCCAUCUAAAGCUAAAUAUUGGCGAGAGACCGAUAGCGAACAAGUACCGUGAGGGAAAGAUGAAAAGCACUUUGGAAAGAGAGUUAACAGUACGUGAAAUUGUUGGAAGGGAAACGCUUGAAGUCAGACUUGCUAUUCGGAAUUCAGCCGCAAGGUGUACUUUUCGAUUUGCAGGCCAGCAUCAGUUUUUGGGGGUGGAAAAGGGCGAGAGGAAGGUAGCAACCCCGGUUGUGUUAUAGCCUCUCGCUGGAUUCAUCCUCGGGGACUGAGGAUCGCAGCGCGCUUUAUUGCAAGGCUCUCGAGCUUUUCGCGCUUAGGAUGCUGGUGGAAUGGCUUUAAACGACCCGYCUUGAAACACGGACC